rnacentral:rRNA from 1 species
GACGAACGCUGGCGGCGUGCUUAACACAUGCAAGUCGAACGGAAAGGCCCUGCUUGCAGGGUACUCGAGUGGCGAACGGGUGAGUAACACGUGGGUGAUCUGCCCUGCACUUCGGGAUAAGCCUGGGAAACUGGGUCUAAUACCGGAUAGGAGCCAUUUUUAGUGUGAUGGUUGGAAAGUUGUUUCGGUGUAGGAUGAGCUCGCGGCCUAUCAGCUUGUUGGUGGGGUAAUGGCCUACCAAGGCGGCGACGGGUAGCCGGCCUGAGAGGGUGGACGGCCAUAUUGGGACUGAGGGACGGCCCAGGCACCGACGGGAGGGAGCAGUGGGGAAGAUUGCAGGAGGGGCGCAAGCCUGAUGCAGCGGCGCCGCGGGGGGGAAGACGGUCUUCUGGUUGAAAACGCAUUUCGCUAGGGACGAAGCUUUUUGUGACGGUACCUAGAUAAGAAGCACCGGCUAACUACGUG